rnacentral:rRNA from 1 species
UACGGAGGAUGCAAGCGUUAUCCGGAAUCACUGGGCGUAAAGCGUCUGUAGGUGGCUCAGAAAGUCUGCUGUUAAAUCUUGGGGCUCAACCCUAAAUCAGCAGUGGAAACUUCUAGGCUAGAGUAUGGUAGGGGUAGAGGGAAUUCCCAGUGUAGUGGUGAAAUGCGUAGAUAUUGGGAAGAACACCAGAGGCGAAAGCGCUCUGCUAGGCCAUCACUGACACUCAGAGACGAAAGCUAGGGGAGCAAAUGGG